rfam:Felis catus isolate Cinnamon breed Abyssinian chromosome B3, whole genome shotgun sequence.
GCCUGGCUCGCUCAGUUGGUAGAGUAUGUGAUUCUUGAUCUCAAGGUCUUGAGUUCAAGCCCCAUGCUGGGCA